AACGUAGGACACAAGCGUUAUCCGGAGUUACUGGGCGUAAAGGGCGUGUAGGCGGACGUGUAAGUCUAUUCUGAAAGCUCCUGGCUAAACUGGGAGAGGCGAAUGGAGACUGCAUAUCUAGAGUGAGGAAGAGGAAAGUGGAAUUCCGCGUGUAGUGGUGAAAAUGCGUAGAGAUGCGGAGGAACACCAGUGGCGAAGGCAGUGUCCUGGGGAGUACCGUGACGCUCAGGUGC
rnacentral:rRNA from 1 species